CUAAUCGUGUUUCAAUCUGAAGCUCUGUUUCUCUCUUCUCUUGUCAUGAAUCGCCUCCAUCCACAUGAAGGUUGCACUGAAUCUCUCUCUAUCCACCCUCGCGAGUCCUCCCGUCGAAUGCUCCUGCAUCUUCGUGUAUCAAUGCCGUUUUGGUUCGAGUUUGGAGGUUUCAACUCAGUUUAGAGUUUGGAUUCGAGCAGUUUUUUCACAGGAGAAUAACUGGUCCUAUAAGGCGUGCCAAGGGUGGCUGGACAGCAGAUGAGGUUAGUCUUUGCUUAUUGACAACAUCUAGAUAUGGUCUUCCUUGUUAGCAAAGCUGAUUGAAUUGAGAAUUCAGUUCAUUUGAUUUAAUGUUUGUGAAAUUUGCAAAAAGGGUAACUGGAUGAUUACAGUUAGAACCAGAGGCGUAAUGUUCAAUUAAAUAUUUCUCUGAUAUUAGCAAAACUUAAUCAUGGACCAUACCUUUGCAUGGCAGUCUUCAUCUGGAUUACUUUCGAUUCUGCAUCCAAAGCUUGCUUCAACCUUUCUUCACUAACUUUAGUUUCCUCUUCAUACCUUUUUUCAGUUUCAUCAAUUUUCUUUUCCAGUGAACUCACCAAAUUCUGUAAAAAAUUCCAUAAAGCAUUAUAUUAGUAAUACAAUGCGACAACCUAUCUUAUGCUAAAAUAUCUGAAGCAUACCAUCAAAAUACUAAUACUGUGACAACUUGGUAUUAGUGUCCACAAUAAUCUGGUUAAAUAAUUCUGUUCUGUCAACUUCAAUUUGAAAAUGCUGCUUGGAAAAGUUUCAAGUGACUCACAGUAAUUAAGGUGUAAUUUGAGAAGUUUGCUGAGAUUUCCAAUGGAAGAUGGAAUAGUCUUAAGCUUUCUGCAACCUCGCAAAGUCAAUUCUUCAAGCCCGACCAAAUGAUGCAACGAUGAAGGUAGUUCUUUAAUUGCUGUACCGUUUAAGUGAAGCGCUAUUAAGUUUUCUAUAGAACCACUGAGACGAAAUCUUGUUAGAAACUUCAAAUUGAAGAAUUCAGUUGGUAGGCAUGUUAGGGACUCACAUUCCAAAAUAUCUAAGCAACAAAGCUCGUUGAAAUUUGGAAACAUCCUUUUAUAUAUGUCACCCAAAAACCCGUAGCCUCCCGCAAAAUACCUAGCUCUUUGGUUUGUCCUCUAUAAUUUGAUUUUGUAGAAUGGAUACGCAUUGAUUUGUGCUUUUAUGAUGACAAUCUGUUUCGUUUCUUCUUUUUGUCUGUCAGAUUCUUGAAGCACUUACAACUUUAAGAUCAUGUGAAAAGUUUUCUAUGGAACGUAUUGAGUUGCUGGGAGAUUCUGUUUUGAUAAUCUGUUUCAUUUCUUCUUUUUGUCUGAUAGAAGAAAUGUUUGGAGGAGACGACGAAGAUGAUGAUGGUGAUGAUUCUUCUGUGUUUCUCAUGAGAAUAAGAGGAAACAUGAUGAGAAGAAGAGUGAAAGGAAGGCAACCAAGGGUGGCAAAAAGGUAAUUGCUCGAAGAGUAGCCAAGGGUCGGUUUAGGAUUACAGCUUAGUGUCAUUGACUUAAAGUUAACGAUUCAAUGUAGCACCUUAGUGCACUUCAUGAUAAGAAACCUCAGUGGAACAGGGCGAACAGGCUGGGGGGUUUCUGAGUACAGUAUUCUAUAAACCAUUUUCCAGGCAGCUAUUGUAUGGAUAUGUUAUGAAUUCAUUUAUUGGCUUUUUGGCAUCGCGGUCAGUUUCAAUAAUAUGUAACCCUUACUGUUUUAUGUCCAAGACACCUUAAAGGUUUAGGUGUGGUUGAUUUAUUAAAUGUGAAGUUUGAUAGAAUGGAAUUUCUUAUUUUAAGCCAUGUCCAUUCACAUUUCUUAUAUUUAGUAUUAGUAGAUUUUUUAGAGGUAAAAUGUGGUUCAUGCCAAUUCUCCUAUUGAAGAAGGAUGACUUGAAUGUACAAGGAAAUGCAAAUUAAAGAUGUGAUUUGUGAUCCCCAUUUUAAAUUCUUAGAGAUAAUUUUAAUAAAAAAAUAUAUAUAUUUGGUUAACAGAUAAAUAAAUUUUAGAACUAAUUUAUCUUUUUAUCUUUAAGAUCUUAUUUUAAGUUACAUUACUU